AACGGUCUAUACCUGCGGUACCUGCGGAAGGAUCAUUACCGAGUUUUCAACUCCCUAACCCUUCUGUGAACCUACCUAUCGUUGCUUCGGCGGACUCGCCCCAGCCCGGACGCGGACUGGACCAGCGGCCCGCCGGGGACCUCAAACUCUUGUAUUCCAGCAUCUUCUGAAUACGCCGCAAGGCAAAACAAAUGAAUCAAAACUUUCAACAACGGAUCUCU
rnacentral:misc_RNA from 1 species